rnacentral:rRNA from 1 species
GAUGAACGCUAGCGGCAGGCUUAAUACAUGCAAGUCGUGGGGCAGCAGGACUGUAGCAAUCCAGUUGCUGGCGACCGGCACACGGGUGCGGAACACGUACGCAACUUACCCUGAACUGGGGGAUAGCCCGGGGAAACCCAGAUUAAUACCCCGUAAUAUAAUGGCGUGGCAUCCCUUUAUUAUUAACGCUCCGGCGGUUCGGUAUGGGCGUGCGGUUGCUUAGGUAGUUGGUUGAGGUAACGGCUCACCAAGCCUACGAUCAGUAACUGGUGUGAGAGCACGACCAGUCGAACGGGCACUGAGACACGGGCCCGACUGCUACGGGAAGCAGCAGUAAGGAAUAUUGGGGAAUGGAGGCGACUCUGACCCAGCCAGGCAGCGUGGAGGAUGAAGGGACUCUGGGGUGUAAACUUCUGUUAUAGGGGACGAAACCUGUGUAUGCUUACGCAGUUGACGGUACCCUAGAAAUAAGCACCGGCUAACUCCGU